AGCAGCCGCGGUAAUUCCAGCUCCAAUAGCGUAUAUUAAAGUUGUUGCAGUUAAAAAGCUCGUAGUUGAAUUUCGGGAUCAAUAUAUCGGUCGUGCCAUUGGUACGUACUGGUAUCAUUGGUUUCUCCUUUCUGACGAACCAUGAUGUCAUUAAUUUGGUGUUACGGGAAGUUAGGACUGUUACUUUGAAAAAUUAGAGUGUUUAAAGCAAGCUAACGCUUGAAUACAUUAGCAUGGAAUAAUGAAAUAGGACGUUCGAUCCUAUUUUGUUGGUUUCUAGGAUUGACGUAAUGAUUAAUAGGGAUAGUUGGGGGCAUUAGUAUUCAAUUGUCAGAGGUGAAAUUCUUGGAUUUAUUGAAGACUAACUACUGCGAAAGCAUUUGCCAAGGAUGUUUUCAUUAAUCAAGAACGAAAGUUAGGGGAGUCGAAGACGAUCAGAUACCGUCGUAGUCUUAACCAUAAACUAUGCCGACUAGGGAUCGGAUGAUGUUUAAUUUUUAAUGUACUCA
rnacentral:rRNA from 1 species